GAUCAUGGCUCAGAUUGAACGCUGGCGGCAGGCUUAACACAUGCAAGUCGAACGGUAACAGGAGAAAGCUUGCUUUCUUGCUGACGAGUGGCGGACGGGUGAGUAAUGCUUGGGAAUCUGGCUUAUGGAGGGGGAUAACGACGGGAAACUGUCGCUAAUACCGCGUAGAAUCGAGAGAUGAAAGUGCGGGACCUUCGGGCCGCAUGCCAUAGGAUGAGCCCAAGUGGGAUUAGGUAG
rnacentral:rRNA from 1 species